ACUGCUCAGUAACACGUCGGUAAUCUGCCCUUAGGAUGGGGACAACCUUGGGAAACUGAGGAUAAUACCCAAUAGGAAAACAUGCCUGGAAUGGCCGUUUUCCAAAAGAUUCAUCGCCUAAGGAUGAGUCGGCGGCGGAUUAGGUAGUUGGCGAGGUAACGGCUCACCAAGCCAAAGAUCCGUACGGGCCUUGAGAGAGGUAGCCCGGAGAAGGACACUGAGAAACUGGUCCUAGCCCUACGAGGUGCAGCAGGCGCGAAACCUUUACACUGCACGAAAGUGUGAUAAGGGAAUCCUAAGUGCUCGUGCACAGCAUGGGCUUUUGCCAAGUGUAAAUAGCUUGGGGAAUAAGUGGUGGGUAAGACUGGUGCCAGCAGCCGCGGUAACCCCAGCGCCACAAGUGGCAACCACACUUACUUGGUCUAAAGCGUCCGUAGCUGGUUAUGUAAAUCUUUUGUGAAAUUGUCAAGCUUAACUUGACAGCGCGCAAAAGACACUGCAAAACUUGAGACCGGGAGAGGUUAGGAGUAUUUCUUGGGGACCGGUAAAAUGGGAUAAUCCAAGAAAGACUACCAGUGGCGAAGGCGCCUAACCAGAACGGUUCUGACAGUGAGGGACGAAGGCUAGGGGAGCGAACCGGAUUAGAUACCCGAGUAGUCCUAGCAGUAAACGCUGUGAAUUAGUUGUUGCACAACUUAUCAAGGUUGUGCAGUGUCGAAGAGAAGUCGUUAAAUUCACCACCUGGGAAGUAUGGUCGCAAGACUGAAACUUAAAGGAAUUGGCGGGGGAGCAC
rnacentral:rRNA from 1 species